AGAACGAACGCUGGCGGCAGGCUUAACACAUGCAAGUCGAACGCUCGUAGCAAUACGGGAGUGGCAGACGGGUGAGUAACGCGUGGGAACAUACCCUCCGGUUCGGAAUAGCUCAGGGAAACUUGGAUUAAUACCGGAUACGGCUGAGAGGCGAAAGAUUUAUCGCCGGAGGAUUGGCCCGCGUUCGAUUAGCUUGUUGGUGAGGUAACGGCUCACCAAGGCGAUGAUCGAUAGUUGGUCUGAGAGGAUGAUCAGCCACAUUGGGACUGAGACACGGCCCAAACUCCUACGGGAGGCAGCAGUGGGGAAUAUUGGACAAUGGGCGCAAGCCUGAUCCAGCCAUGCCGCGUGAGUGAUGACGGCCUUAGGGUUGUAAAGCUCUUUCGCUCGGGACGAUAAUGACGGUACCGAGAUAAGAAGCCCGGCUAACUUCGCGCCAGCAGCCGC
rnacentral:rRNA from 1 species